GUUUGUAUUAUUUUAGAAUUUACUGUCUUAGACACGUGGCAUGUGGUAUCCCACUAAUUAGCUAUUUUAAACAUGUGACAAGUGGUAUGACACUGUAUUGAUGUAUGUGAAAUGUAUAGAGUCUUUCAGUUAUCAGAUAAUGUCAAGGAGUUGACAGCAUGGUGUCCGAUUUAA